UUUAACCUAUCAAGAUCUCGUUCGUUGACCACAUAUUCAUUGGUAGGGCUGACCCGGUCCUUUGUGGUCAACCACUGACUUGCAAUAAAGUCAAUUCUUUUCAGCUGUUGCAAAUGCUGCGGUUCGUAUAGCAGAAGUGGUUUUAUCGUUGUUCGAAGAAGCUAACUGGUGAUCAAGGAGCUCUUCUUCUAUCAAAUCCGAUUUACU
rnacentral:lncRNA from 1 species